UUUUCAGCUUAAAGACGCAGCACAACUAGCUCUAAAGAAAAUGCCUUCAGCAGAACAAGAGGCUCUAUCACAGAGUGAGUACCAGCGAGGAGUUAGUGCCUGGAACUUCGAUAUUGAGGAUUUAAAAGCGUAAGCAUCACUGGUGAGAGAUGAUGAUGAUGAUGGGCCAGAGAUCAGGGAAGAAGAUGAAAACAUGAAAUAUGUUGUCAGUGAG